rnacentral:sRNA from 1 species
GCUAGGUGCCGUGGCACACACCUGUAAUCCCAGUGGCUCGGGAGGCUGAGGCAGGAGGAUCAUGAGUUCAAAGCCAGCCUCAGCAAUAGCAAGGCACUAAGCAACUCAGUGAGACCCUGUCUCUA